rnacentral:tRNA from 1 species
GCGCCCGUAGCCCAACCGGAUAGAGCAACGGCCUUCUAAGCCGUGGGUUGCAGGUUCGAAUCCUGCCGGGCGCGCCA